rnacentral:lncRNA from 1 species
UAUGGUUUGAUUUGGUUUUGGUGUCCUAUUUCUUCAUAAAUUUUGGUAAAUUUUUAAAAUUUCAUAUUAAAGCAAAAUGCAUAGACUAAUAUGGCAAAUACAAUUUUUCUUCUUUCUUAUCUCUUUUUUCUUCAGGUUAAAGGUGUGACAGAUUCAAAAUUCUACAUUCCAAGAAUAACCCCCAGUGCCCGUCAACUUCUUUUGAGAACCAAUCAACCUGGCAACUUGUGGAAGUGAGGAAUAUGAAAGUGAAGGAACCAGUUAGUUAGAAAGCAGCAACCAAUGGAAGGACCUAGAGUUAGAAGUAUGGCAAGCUGAGAACCUUGUGAAAGUCAAAGCUAUCAUGGACUGAAAACACUGAGUUAGCAGACAGAGCUGAUUAGAAGAGAGAAGAGAUUUCAACUCAGAAAAAAAAAUUCAGAUACACAAUGAGAAGUUACUGGACAACCUGUACAGCUACUUGGGUUCCUGAUACUUUUCUGUUGCUAUUUAUUCUGUCAAUAAAAAU